GCGCCCGUAGCUCAACUGGAUAGAGCACUAGUCUACGGAACUAGUUGUUACAGGUUCAAGUCCUGUCGGGCGCGCCA
rnacentral:tRNA from 1 species